CAGCUCUAUUCAAAACACCACUAACUAACAGCCAAACAGAGAGCUGUCAUAACAAAAUAGUGAGGUGAAAGUGCCUAAGCUGCUCUGGAUUUGAGAUUUAAGAACCUGCUUAUCCCUGUACAAGACAUCUGUGGCUGGGUGCAGAGGUAAUGCCUGAUGCCAGGGUCCAAGGGACAAAAUCCAGCUCAACUUCCUCUCCCCUUCCACAGCUGCUGAUGAGAGGGGCACUAAGAGAGACUCCUUGAAGGGAGGAAGAGCACUGUGGCUUUGAGAAGAUCAGGCUUCACAUACGCAUGAAGUAAUAGGUUUGGACUGAAAUCCAAGCAGGGGAAGAGGUUUCCUGAUCAUUUUAAAUCACUUUACUUUCUUGUUAUGAGCACUAGCCUUCGAAGAACAGACCUGUUGUUGUAAUUAAUUUUUUUUUUGCCUGUUGAGUCAGUCACCAGUUUACAUCACUGUAAUCAAUGUUUCCUUGCCUGGGCUGAGUGGGACAUGUUGAAGACAAGCCUGAGUCUCAUUUUUCCUGCUGACUACAGAGUUUGGCAACUCAGCACAAACCCAGACUCCCUCUUCCUAUCCCCUUUGUCUGGAUGCUCUCCUCUUCAUGUCUAGCCACUUUCCCAUAUGACUGGCCUAUCUGACCUCCAGAGCCCUCUUCUGGGUUGAUUCUGGGAAAAUGGAUCAUCCUCUUCUUGCAACACACAGUGGUAUGUCAGUGUUUGUGCUGAGACAAUGCAACAACACCAUGGCAUGACAGGUGGCAUCCCUGUGCCUGACGGUUGAGUUGGACAGCUUCAAACAAGGCGAGUUCAGGUAGGGACUAAUUUUUUUUUUCCAAUUAUUCUCCCAACCCUAUCUUUUACUACCAGAUAGCAAUCAAAGUUUUCACAUGGCCUGAUCCUGUAAUCAUAGUGCAGGCAAAGCUCCUAUUAAAGCCAAUGAGAACUUUACCAGGGAGAGGACUAUGGGAUGCAAUCUAUCGGUAGCUAUUAACCAAUUUCUAUCAAUUCAGCAGAAAACAUUUUGUUAAACAAUUGGCCCUCCGUACAUUUGAUUUUUGGCUUUUUAUGUUGCAUUCUGUGAGCUUAAUAUGCUCUUGAUUGUGAACAAGCAAACAGACGAGUGCGUACACAUGAUGUUUCAUUUGGCUUUUUGACACCACGGUGUCAACCAGAAUGUCCAUGUUGAAAAUCAUUUGAAGUAUAUUUGUUCCUUCACCACAUUAAAACAGUAGCUUUGUGGUCAAUGUUUCUUGUGCAUCUUAUAACCUCAAACUGCAUCAUUUGAUGCUUGUCUAUUGAGAAAAGUAAAAUACAAAGUCAAAAUACACAAGAUUUGGAGUGGACCCAAAGUCAUAAAAAAACCAACACAGAAAACAAAUACAGCCCUGGCAUGCAGAAAUGAGCAGGGCCAGCUAUUCCAGUUAUACUGAAGACAUCCACUUUUAUUACAUUACAUAUGAUACAAGUCCUAGCUGUCAAAAUUCUCAGGAGCUCCUAAAUAGAUAAUAAACAAUCAGUGAAAGACUUAUGGCUACAUGUUUUUCAUAGUAUUGGAAAUCACCUGGGAACCAUAUUUUAAUGGAAAAUACAGCUUGAUGGAGACAAGCUUCAUAGAUUUAUGAAGAAACUGCAGCACAAAUCAACUGGAGGGUUUAGCUUUCCAGAGUGAUGGGGAAGUGCUAGAAAAUAGCACCAAAAAAAAAAAAAAAAAAAAAAGCGAAGAAAGGACGAAAAAGGACA